rnacentral:rRNA from 1 species
UACAGAGGGUGCGAGCGUUAAUCGGAAUUACUGGGCGUAAAGCGUGCGCAGGCGGCGCCGCAAGUCAGGCGUGAAAUCCCCGAGCUUAACUUGGGAAUGGCGCUUGAAACUACGGUGCUGGAGUGUGGCAGAGGGAGGUGGAAUUCCACGUGUAGCGGUGGAAUGCGUAGAGAUGUGGAGGAACACCGAUGGCGAAGGCAGCCUCCUGGGCCAACACUGACGCUCAUGCACGAAAGCGUGGGGAGCAAACAGG